GAUGAACGCUGGCGGCGUGCCUGACACAUGCAAGUCGAACGGAGAUUACGGACGGAAGUUUUCGGAUGGAAGUUUGUAAUUCUUAGUGGCGGACGGGUGAGUAACGCGUGGGCAACCUGCCCUAUACAGGGGGAUAGCAGCUGGAAACGGCUGGUAAGACCGCAUAAGUCGGUUAAAUCGCAUGAUUUGAUCGGGAAAUGAGCAAUCAGGUAUAGGAUGGGCCCGCGUCCGAUUAGCCAGUUGGCAGGGUAAAAGCCUACCAAAGCGACGAUCGGUAGCCGGACUGAGAGGUCGGACGGCCACAUUGGGACUGAGACACGGCCCAAACUCCUACGGGAGGCAGCAGUGGGGGAUAUUGCACAAUGGAGGAAACUCUGAUGCAGCGACGCCGCGUGAGUGAAGAAGUAUUUCGGUAUGUAAAGCUCUAUCAGCAGGGAAGAUGAUGACGGUACCUGACUAAGAAGCCCCGGCUAACUACGUGCCAGCAGCCGCGGUAAUACGUAGGGGGCAAGCGUUAUCCGGAUUUACUGGGUGUAAAGGGAGCGCAGGCGGUUUUGCAAGUUGAGAGUGGAAGCAGGGGGCUCAACCCCCUGACUGCUCCCAAAACUGUAAAACUUGAGUAUGGGAGAGGCAGGCGGAAUUCCUAGUGUAGCGGUGAAAUGCUUAGAUAUUAGGAAGAACACCGGUGGCGAAGGCGGCCUGCUGGACCAAAACUGACGCUGAGGCUCGAAAGCGUGGGUAGCAACAGG
rnacentral:rRNA from 1 species